rnacentral:rRNA from 1 species
AACGAACGCUGGCGGCGUGCCUAACACAUGCAAGUCGAGCGAGAAAUCCCGCAAGGGUGAGUAAAGCGGCGCACGGGUGCGUAACACGUGGGUAAUCUGCCCUGGAGCCCGGAAUAACUCGCCGAAAGGCGUGCUAAUGCCGGAUAAGACCACGGGAACUUCGGUUCCUGCGGGAAAAGGUGGCCUCUGUAUACAAGCUAUCUCCUCAGGAUGAGCCCGCGGCCCAUCAGCUAGUUGGCGGGGUAAUGGCCCACCACGGCUACGACGGGUAGCGGGUCAAAGAGGAGGAUCAGCCAGACUGGAGCUGAGAGACGGUCCAGACUCCUACGGGAGGAAGCAGUGGGGAAUCUUGCGCAAUGGGCGAAAGCCUGACGCAGCAACGCCGCGUGUGGGAUGAAGGUCUUCGGAUCGUAAAGCACUGUCGGGAGGGACGAAUAAGGUGCCGGCUAACACUCGGCGCCGAUGACGGUACCUCCAAAGGAAGCACCGGCUAACUCUGUGCCAGCAGCCGCUGUAACAC